UCCUCCUCUGUUGGUUCGUCCUA
rnacentral:siRNA from 1 species